CCGCCCCACCGCCUCCUCCAGGAAGCCUUCCCGGAAGGAGACCUGCCUGCAGGGACCCGAUGUUUGCUGUAGAAAAGCCCGGCCCUCUGGAUUCUUGGAAGCCAGGCGGCCAAGGGCAGCCAAGAGCGCACAAAGCACCCUGGCCACCUUCCUGGUGUGGUCGAGUCGCCGUCGUCCCCACGAGUCCUGGAAAGGAAGGCGCUCGCCGGCGUGCACGGGGGCUGAGCCUGCACUCCGAGCCUGGCCUUGCCUUGCUCUGCCUGCUGGGAACGCGGAUGACCCGCAUGUGAUUUAGAGGACCCUGAAGCAUCUAUGACCACACAUACAACUGGAGCUGACCCUCCUGGCUCUUCCCACCCUCCGACCCCCAGCCCACCACCUCCCUUUCUUCCUACUGUAAACCAAGCCUUGGAAUUUGGUGUCUGUCCAUCUCGUACCACGUUUUUGUUCCCCUGCUACAGGCACAUAUAACCAUCAACGCCUACAGCUCUGUGUGUUUUUAAAGUCUGUGAAUAAUAUCAAGCAGAAAGUCUUUUCAGAAGCUCCGCGCUGACUGGGAGGGGCUGGAAGUAGGCGUGUCCCAAAGGCUGGAGCCCACAGCACUGGCCUUUGGCAAAGCCACAGGUCCUUUUUGCUCCUUGCCACCCACCCUUCCUCCCCGCCCCAUACCCCCAGUCUCGAGAGCCCACUGGGCUUGCUGCUGGUCAGCUUGGCCUUGGUGGGGGAAGGGCCUCUCCAAGGGAGGGCUGGCUGGUUGGCCUAGGAGUGUGUGUCUGGGGAUGGGGGCAGCCUGGGUGUGAAGCACUGCCUUCAGCUGUACCAGGACCUCCAGGAUCCGUGGCUCUGUGUUAGACCCCAGCCUUAAAGUGGAGGUGGGCGGGACACACAGUUUUUGACAAAGGAGGUUAAUGGGGGCAGCGUUUACAUGCAAUAAAAUCACCUUUUAAAAAUGUA